rnacentral:misc_RNA from 1 species
AACCCUACUUCUGGUGGAUCUUGGAUCCCUUCUUCUUGGAACCCGUGACAGGCGCCGGCUGGGGCCUGGGAUGCAGAUCGGCCUCACUCGGAUCCAGCCACUUGAGGGGGUGGAGGUUGAAGAAGGGCCAGUUGGGAACGGUGACCAGGACCGUCAGAACAACACCGGCGGCGUAGACGAGCAUCAUCGUCUGGAAGGAACCGAUGGCAUAGCCGGCGACGAACGCGGCGGCGGCGAACACCACGAGCAGGAUCUGCAUCACGGAUUCCACGCGCUUCUGUCCCUGCCAAUCCAUCUGAGAGAACAAAGCGG